CGCAGAGACGGCUGAGAGGCAGGAAACGCUUCUUGAGGAGACCGCAGAUAAGUUUUUCUGUUAAGAUAGGGAUUACUCUUAUUCUCUAGGAAUUAUAAAUUAGCGAAAAUACUGAGCUGUAGUUUUGAGUUAAAUUCGUGAGAGUAGAUCUGAUAAUUAAUAGGAAGGUCUUAUUUUAGGGGAAAAUGGAGACGUCCUUAAAAAAUAGUAUGAGAAAGGAAGAAAGAAGAAAAAAGAUAAUAUUAGAACAUGACGGAGGUUAAGAGCUGAAGCUUCUUCAUGGAGUGAGAAAGCUAAUUUUAAAAGGAGUUGCCGAGACAGGACUGCAAAGUAUGGAAUUUUAAAGUCUUAAAUUGAAGGGCAGCUUUUUAGAUUAUUGUUCAAACGUAAUGCUAUAAAUAGAACCUAAACAAUACUUUUAAAGUCCAGUCGUAGAUGGAUUAAAAUGUUUUAAAAGCCAUCUUUAAAGGUCAGUUGAAGGUGAUUUAAGAAAUGCCUUCAAAUUCACGGCGCGAUCAAAACUGCGUCAUUUGAAGCCUUAAGGCUUUCUUUGGAAGUUGAUGGAAGUAUUAGUGGAGAAAGAAGAUUAGAAAUUUGAAGUGGAAAACUCGGAAGACAAGUACAGGAAGGUGAAGAAAAGAUUAGUGAAGAUAGGAAAACUAGAAGAUAAAAAAUACGGCUUUUAGAAGACAGAAAAAAACUAAGCCCAGAAGGUAGGAGGCAGAAGACAUCUAGAAAGAGAAGGUUGAAAAGAUGUUCGAGUGUUUGAGGUAGAAAAUGAGAAACAAGCUGUUGGAGACAAGCAUACAAGAUAGAGGUCCAAGUAAUUGGAAGAUAGAAAAGUCCGAAGCCAAAAAAUUGGAUAAGUACAAGACGCAAAACUAAGAAAAAUAAUUUUUAAUAGUUAAAUUUAUUUAAAAAGCCCAUCAACUUUAAUUUGUGGUGGUGCAGAAGUUAGAUCUGAGAAGAGGGUUUUAAACUACAGUAGACCAAGACCAACUUAGAAGAAUAUCUCGAAGCUGUAGAGGGAAGUAAAUUUAAAAUCACAGCAAAAAGCUACUAAAAAGACUGAUGUAAAAAUUAAGGUAGACGGAAGAGUUAAAAAUUUGAAAGGCCUUAAAUCCAUACAGUAGUUUAGUUUCUUCUGGAAAACUUAAAGGACGAUAAAUUCAACAGCGAGGAUAACCAAGUUAACAUUUUUUGCAUUGGACUUUGAGCUAAGAUGAAUUUCUAAACCCUGAGGACUAGGCGCUAAUUAACAGCUGACCAGGUGCUACACAGAAGUGGAUUCAGAGAACCUAGGAAGACAGCAGCAGACAGGAUUCCAGGAGCCAGUUUUUGGUGAAACUAGGACUGAGGAGCGAGCGGCAGUUCGUGAAGAUAGGAAGGAGGAGCCCGGGAGCCAGUGCGAUUUGGUGAAGGAAGCUAGGAAGAAGGAAGGAGCCCUAACGGUUGGAGGUGAAGCUAGGAGAGGAUUCCAGGAAGGAGGAAGCCAGUGCGAUGUGGUGAUGAAGCUAGCGUGCGGCUUGGCGGCGUGGCUUGGCAACCCCGCGGAGGAGGCGAGCAGGCGGUGUGGAGGCUAGAUAGAGCGUCCUAGAGCGGCAGCCCAGUGUGCAAGGCCGGCAGGGAGAGCCAGUGGUGUGGUAAAAAUCCGUGAGGUCGGCAGUAUCGUGGGUUCUGCUUUGUUUCUUCACCUUUUUUUGGUAACAGUACGGUAAUCUUUGUUGUAUUUCCUAAUGGUGAUGGGGGAGCUGUGUACUUAAGCAUAAAGGGUUUUAUGGGGAUGUAGGCCGAUUUUCGGGUGUUGUAGGUUUCUCUUUUUCAGGCGUAUUUUCUCAUCUUGUCUGAAGCUUUUGAGGGCAGACUACCAAGGCCCGGAGGAAUAGUAGAUGGCAAGUGUUUUCGUUUUUAACCAAUAUGAGGGAAAACAAAUGAAUUUGAUAGAACAACCUUGAGACAGUUUCAGCCAGCUUUGUAAGCAGGUUUUAUAUUUAGCUUGGUAAUGAAGCAUUUCCGUUUUGUGAGUAGAUGACUUAAUUUUCUUUCUCAUUCUCUAUUCUAAGUUACCUAUAUAUAUAUAGUUGGGUGUGUAAUUCGGGGGGGUAAAGGUUUUGGGGGGGCAAAAUAUGUUUUGAGUUCUUUUCCCCUUAGGUCUGUCUAGAAUUCCAAAGGCAAAUGACUCAAGGUAACAGGAAAAAAGAAAAUCCAGUAUCAGGAUAAUCAGAACACCACAGGUUUACAGUUUGUAGAAACUAGAACACGAGCAGCUCUCACUUAAGGUCUGUGAUGGAACUCCAGUGGAGAAAUGGCUGGUACUUUUUCCACCCCUUAAUCAGAUUUUUUUUUAAUUAAAGUAUGUAACCGGUUAUUUUUACUUGAAGUAUUUUGGGGUGGUCUUAACAGGGAAGAGGGUGGGGGAGAAAAUGUUUUUUUCUAAGACUUUCCACAGAUGCUAUAGUACUAUUGACAAACUGAGUUAGAGAAGGAUUGUACUGCUAUGCUGUUGGCACCAAACACCUUCAGGGAUUGGAGCUGCUUUUUUCCUUGGAGUAUUCCCAGUGAAGCUGAAAUAUACAGCACAGUGCAGCUUUGGUUCAUAUUCAGUCAUCUCAGGAGAACUUCAGAAGAGCUUGACUAGGCCAAAUAUUGAAGUUAAGUUUUCAAAUAAUGGAACUUUUUAAGAUGCCUUUUAAAGGGGAGGGGCAAGUUUUGGCAAUUAGUUGGCAGUGGCCUGUUUUGGUUGGGGUUGGGUGGGUUGGGUUUAGGUAAUUGUUUAGUUUAUGAUUUCAGAUAACUCAUGCCAGAGAACUUAAAUACUUAGGAUGGAAAAACUAAAGAAAUCUCACCUCCCAAGUUGGCAAGUAACUCCUGAUCCUCUAGUUUCUUGUUUUACCCCAAUUUUUGAACUGGACAGCUGGGAACUUCAAAGAUUCACUGGAUUUAAAGUGUAGGGCUUGGGAAAGGAAAGUGUUGGAUUGGGGGUUGGUCUAGCCCACUGGGUUGACCAAGAUAAAAACUUGGGGAAUUGUUUAAACACUAAAGUUGUUUGGAUAUGGUAGUGUGUGGUUCUCUUUUGGAAUUUUUUUCAGGUGAUUUAAUAAAACUUAAUACUACUAUAGGAGCUUCAGAGCAAAGGAAGUGGCUUAAUGAUCCUGAAGGGAUUUCUUCUGAUGGUAGCUUUUAUAUUAUCAAACUUUUUUCAGAUAACAUCUUCUGAGUCAUACCCAGCCUGGCAAUAUGAUGGCCUAGAUGGAGAGGGGAACAGCUCCUUGACAGGUUUCUCUAUCAGAAGAGUUGCUUCAUAUCAUCUGGGAGCAGAAAACAGCAGGCAGCUGUUCACAGAUAAGUUUAACUUGCAUCUGCAGUAUUGCAUGUUAGGGAUAAGUGCUAUGUUUAAUAAGAGCUGUGGAGGUCCUAGGUCCCUUACUCAAGGGAUCUCAGGAUUUUGAGGAAUUUUCCCAUCCAGCCUUUUAAAAUGAGACAGGCCUUAUGCCUGUGGGCUUCCAUGAUGGGCUAACUCACUUCACUCGAGGCAAGUAAUUCCUUAAAGCCUCUUGAGAUUAAUACCUUAAUAAUCAAGGAUAAUGUUGAUAAAAUAAAAAUUUGUUUAGCAUUGAUUCUUGAAAACCCUAUGAAAAGAUAGCAUAAUGUGCUGUUAACCAGAAUCAGAUAUGUUAACCUUGCUAAAAUUUAAAUGUUAUGUGUAUUGUGCAGAAAACCGUAAAAUCACUCAAAAUAAAAUACUUUAUUU
rnacentral:lncRNA from 1 species